ACUGUGACGUCUGCCCCUGUGUCCAAGAGGCCGUUAAGCCACUUGUGCUCACCGCCAUUCCAUAUGUAACACUCAGUUUUGGGUCUAUCCUUCCCAAUCACCUGGGCCUGACACACCUCGUAGACCUGCUUUGCGGUUUUCCUCCACAGGUCUUCUGGGUAGACAGGGGCCCCAGAUACAGGUUGCAGGGCCGUCCUGGAUGGUAGCCUUUGGGUGGUGGCCCAGUGAAGCGGCGUGCAGGAGCCGGAGCCGUGGAUGGCGUGUGGGCUUCGGCAAAGGAGACUCUCCGUGAUGGCGUUUGGGGUGUCCCCGGAGGGUCUUUUGAAGGCAGGGUGACCCUUCGAGCGCACACGUCCAGCAUGUCCUGGAGCGUUGGCUCUGGGUUGAGGGGCAGGCUCAGCAUCGCCUGUCGGCAGGCCUCGUUGGCAUUCUGCAGGGCGAUCUGCUUCACCAUGCCCUGCCUCAAUCCGUCCUCUGGCACCUGCGAUUCAGCUGCCCUGUACAACCUGUCUACGAAACUAACGAAAGAUUCCUGUGUCUCCUGCUUAAUAGAAAAACAGUUAACAACA